CCCAUCUCUCGGGCGCGCCCCCUUCUCUGCCCCCCCACCCACCCCCCCCCGGGCGUGAGCAGCCCGCGGCGCUCCCCGCCUGCUGUCGCCAUGGAGACGGGGGGGGGUGCAGGCGGGCGGAGUCGGGGGUAGCGUCCCUGGCGGGGACCCCGGGCUCAGCCGGGAGGGGCGAUGCCCUGCAGGCUCUGGGCCUGGGGAGGACGAGAAACGAAUUUUUUGGAAGGAAGAUGACAGAUUUUUUUUUUUUUUUCGGUGAUUCUGAACUGUAGUUAAUGGCAAAUGUUUAGCUCCGAUUUUAUCAACCAUAAACAUAAGUUACUUGCUGACAUGGCCAAAGGCCCCAAAAUAGCUUGAACAGUCAAUAGACUUGGAGAAAGCAAACACCCCACCCACCCCCCUCACCCCUUUCUGUCUGCUUUGCCCAGAACUCGCCAGAACUCGGUUUUUUGGUUUUUCUUUUUUUCGGAAAUGAUCUUUUUUAUGCCUGUGAUUCUCUGAGCAAAAUAGUUUGAAGUAAUCGCAACAAAUACAACAAGAAGCAACCAGGUUCUCAAGGCAUUUCUUUCUUUCUCUCUUUCUUUCUUUCUUUCUUUCUCUCUUUCUUUCUUUCUUUUGCUUCUAGGGUUAUUGCUGGGGCUCCGUGCUGGCACUAAGAAUCUACUUCUCCUGGAGGCCAUUUUUUUUCUUUAAAUCGGAUAGGACAGAGAGAAAUUGAAAGGGGGAGGAGAGAGAGAGACCUGCAGACCUGCUUCACUGCUUGUAAAGCGACCUUCUGCAGGUGGGGAGCCAGGAGCUCAAACCAGGAUCCUUGCGCAGGUUUCUGCUGAAGACAAAGCUUGGGUGUGAGCAGAGUUCUCUGUGGAUGAGGUUUCCUGUGCAGACUUCAGUCUCUCAUUGUUCAGACACCAAGUUACAGAUGCUACCAUGACUCCAUCCCAACUUCUCGGGGCAGAUGACCUCACCAAUGUGUUCUGGACCCUUGAAUCUCCAGAGCUAGCCACCAGGUUCCAGAUGCCAGCAGGAUGCCUACCAGACUUCUCUGGACAGAUGACCCCACCAGUGUGUCCUAGAGCUCGCUUCCCCAGAGACCCACCCUACUAGGGAAAGAGAGAGGCAGACUGGGAGUAUGGACUGACCAGUUAAUGUCCAUGUUCAGCGGGGAAGCAAUUACAGAAGCCACACCUUCCACCUUCUGCAACCCACAAUAACCUUGGGUCCAUACUCCCAGAGGGAUAAAGAAUAGGAAAGCUAUCAGGGGAGGGCAUGUGAUAUAGAGAUCUGGUGGUGGGAAUUGUGUGGAGUUGUACCUCUCCUAUCCUAUGGCUUUGUUAAUGUCUCUU